AGGGGUCUUCGGGUAGUGGCGCACGGGUGCGUAACGCGUGGGAACCUGCCUUUAGGUUCGGAAUAACUCAGAGAAAUUUGAGCUAAUACCGGAUAAUGUCUUCGGACCAAAGAUUUAUCGCCUUUAGAUGGGCCCGCGUUAGAUUAGAUAGUUGGUGGGGUAACGGCCUACCAAGUCGACGAUCUAUAGCUGGUCUGAGAGGAUGAUCAGCCACACUGGGACUGAGACACGGCCCAGACUCCUACGGGAGGCAGCAGUGGGGAAUAUUGGACAAUGGGCGAAAGCCUGAUCCAGCAAUGCCGCGUGAGUGAUGAAGGCCUUAGGGUUGUAAGGCUCUUUUACUAGGGAUGAUAAUGACAGUACCUAGAGAAUAAGCUCCGGCUAACUCCGUGCCAGCAGCCGCGGUAAUACGGAGGGAGCUAGCGUUGUUCGGAAUUACUGGGCGUAAAGCGCGCGUAGGCGGCAUAUCAAGUCAGGGGUGAAAUCCCGGGGCCCAACCCCGGAACUGCCCUUGAAACUGGUACGCUAGAAUACUGGAGAGGUGAGUGGAAUUCCGAGUGUAGAGGUGAAAUUCGUAGAUAUUCGGAAGAACACCAGUGGCGAAGGCGACUCACUGGACAGUUAUUGACGCUGAGGUGCGAAAGCGUGGG
rnacentral:rRNA from 1 species